CCGCAACCAAUUAAGCCAACCAACCCAAUUCUCUGUGUGGAGCUGGUGUGCAAUGGUUGCAGACUACAUUUCUGUGGUUGUGUAUGUACAUUGUCCUUAAUACAGGGCAUUCUAAGGGACCUCGGAGACAUUU
rnacentral:snoRNA from 1 species